rnacentral:misc_RNA from 1 species
GAUGAAGAACGUAGCGAAAUGCGAUAAUUAAUGUGAAUUGCAGAAUUCCGUGAAUCAUCGAGUCUUUGAACGCACAUAGCGCCUCAUGGUAUUCUGUGAGGCAUGCCCAUCUCAGCGUUAGUAAAUAUUAUCAAAUUUUGGCCUUGUGUCGAAGUUUGGAUUAUGUCAAGGAAGCUAUUACUAUCAAAGUGGAUAGCUCUUUGGAAAUUAAUAGGUCUUCAAGUGGCUAUCAUUGAAACGGGAUGAAAAUUACUUCGUUCCCAUGUAGUUUACUUGUAUAGUCCUGAAACUUAUAUAUCUUUAUGGUAUUCUUUGAAUUUGACCUGAGAUUGGGUAGGGAUACCCGCUGAACUUAAGCAUAUCAAUAAGCGGAGGA